rnacentral:miRNA from 1 species
CAGUACUAAUUAGCGAACGUCU